AGAGACACCUAUGCAAAUGCAAUGUUGAAGAACAGGAAAAAAGGACCCUCAUUUAAUUUUGGCUAGGUGCUGGCAGGUUUUGCUUCACUCUUUUGAAGAUGAAAGACAGCUGUGGGCAUAGGUGACUCCACCUUUAAAGUACUCAGGAAGCUUGAGUGGCAUCUAAAUAUAACCAUCUGGCUGGAGUGCAGCAGCGUUGUCCCGGCUCACUGCAGUCUUAACAUUUCCUGGCUCAAGUGAUUCUCCUGCUUCAGGUUCCCGAGUAGCUAGGACUACAGCUGUGCAGAAACUAAAACUUGAUGUUGUGUCCGGAAUUGGUGGGUUCUUGGUCUCACUGACUUGAAGAAUGAAGCCGCGGACGCUCGCGCUCAACAAGACUGCAGCUCGCUGCUUGAGUUCCACCUUCCUAAGCCAGGGUGGAAAAUGUUCCUAAGAAGGUGGCCAGGGGAUGAGAAGGCCUCAGGAAGCUUGUAAUCAUGGUGGAAGGGGAUGCAAACACAUUCUUCUUCAGAUGGCAGCAGCAAGGAGAAGUACAGAGCAAAAGGGGGAAAAGGCUCUUAUACAACCAUCAGAUCUUGUGAGAACUCACUCACUAUCAUGAGAACAGCAUGGAGGUACAUGGAGGUAAUGGGCUCCCAUGAUUCAAUUACCUCCCACUUGUCCCUCCCAUUACACAUGGGGAUUAUGGGAACUACACUUCAAGGUGAGAUUUUAUGAGAUUUGAAUGGGAACACAGCCAAACCAUAUCAUUCCACUAUUGACCCCUCCCAAAUCUCUUGUCUUCACAUUUCCAAACGUAAUCAUGCCCUCCAACAAUCCCCUAAAGUCUUAACUCAUUCCAGCAUUAACUCAAAAGUCCAAGUCCAAAGAGUCUUAUCUGAGACAAGGCAAGUCCCUUCCACCUAUGAGCCUAUAAAAUCAAAAGCAAGUUAGUCCCUUCCUAGAUACAAUGAAAGUACAGGCCUUGGGUAAAUACAUCUGUACUAAAUGGGAGAAAUUGGACAAAACAAAGAGGCUACAGGACCCAUGCAAGUUCAAAAUCCAAUAGGAUAGUCCUUAAACUUUAAAGUUCCAAAAUGAUCUCCUUUAACUCCAUGUCUUAUAUCCAGGACAUGCUGAUUCAAAAGUUAGGCUCCCACAGCCAUGGGCAGCUUUGUCCUUGUGGCUUUACAGGGUACAGGCCCCCUCCUGUCUGCUUUCAUGGGCUGGUGUUGAGUGUCUGUGGCUUUUCCAGGUGCACAGUGGCCCACUCCUGCAGCAAACUUCUGCCUGGACAUCCAGGAAUUCCAUACAUCCUCUGCUAUCUAGGUGGAGGUUCCCAAACCUCAAUUAUUGAUUUCUCUGCACCUGCAGGCUGAACACCAUGGGAAACCACCAAGGCUUGGGGCUUGCACCCUCUGAAGCCAAGGCUUGAGCUGUACCCUGGCCACUUUUAGCAGUGGCUGGAGCAGCUGGGAUACAGGGCACCAAGUUCCUAGGCUGCAAACAGGAGGGUGAGCCCAGCCCAACAAACCAUUUUUUCCUCCUAGGCCUUGGGCUUAUGAUGGGAGGGGCUUCCAUGAAGGUCUGUGACAUACCCUGGAGACAUUUUUCCCAUUGCCUUGGUAAUUAACAUUUCACUUCUUGUUAUGCAAAUUUCAUAGCAGGCUUGAAUUUCUCCCCAGUAAAAUGGGUUUUUCUUUUCUAUUCUAUUGUCAGGCUGCAAAUUUUUCAAACUUUUAUAUUCUGCUUCCUCUUGAAUGCUUUGCUGCUUAGAAAUUUAUUCUGCCAGUUACCGUAAAUCAUCUCUCUCAAGUUUAAAGUUUCACAGAUGACUAGGGAAGGGACAAAAUGCUGCCAGUCUCUUUGCUAAAGCAUAGGAAGAGUCACCUUUGCUCCAGUUGCCAACAAGUUCCUCAUCUCCAUCUGAGACCACCUCAGCCUGGACUUUACUGUCCAUAUCACUAUCAGAAUUUUGGUCAAAGCCAUUCAACAAGUUUCUAGGAAGUUCCAAACUUUCCCACGUCUUCUUAUCUUCUUCUGAGCCCUCCAAACUGUUCCAGCCUCUGUCUGUUACCCAGUCCCAAAGUCAUUUCCACAUUUUUGGGUAUCUUUAUAGCAGCAUCCCACUCUACCAGUACCAAUUUACUAUAUUAGUCCAUUCUCACACUGCUAAUAAAGACAUACCUAAGACUGGGUAAUUUAAAAAGGAAAGAAGUUUAAUUGACUCACAGUUCUGCAGGGUUGGAGAGGCCUCAGGAAACUUAAAAUCAUGGCAGAAAAAGAAGCAAACAUAUCCCUCUUCACAAGGCGACAGCAAGGAGAAGUGCAGAUCAAAGUAGAGGGAAAACCCCGUAUAAAACCAUCAGAUCUUGUGAGAACUCACUCACUAUUACGAGAACAGCAUGGACAUAACCACCCCUAUCAUUCAAUUACCUCCCACGGUGCCCCUUCCAUGACAUGUGGGGAUUGUGGGAACUAUAAUUCAAGAUGAGAUUUGGGUGGGAAAACAGCCACACCAUACCA